rnacentral:rRNA from 1 species
ACUCCUACGGGAGGCAGCAGUGGGGAAUUUUGGACAAUGGGCGAAAGCCUGAUCCAGCCAUGCCGCGUGCAGGAUGAAGGCCUUUGGGUUGUAAACUGCUUUUGUACGGAACGAAACGGCCUUUUCUAAUAAAGAGGGCUAAUGACGGUACCGUAAGAAUAAGCACCGGCUAACUACGUGCCAGCAGCCGCGGUAAUACGUAGGGUGCAAGCGUUAAUCGGAAUUACUGGGCGUAAAGCGUGCGCAGGCGGUUAUGUAAGACAGUUGUGAAAUCCCCGGGCUCAACCUGGGAACUGCAUCUGUGACUGCAUAGCUAGAGUACGGUAGAGGGGGAUGGGAUUCCGCGUGUAGCAGUGAAAUGCGUAGAUAUGCGGAGGAACACCGAUGGCGAAGGCAAUCCCCUGGACCUGUACUGACGCUCAUGCACGAAAGCGUGGGGAGCAAACAGGAUUAGAAACCCCUGUAGUCCCAUGA